rnacentral:rRNA from 1 species
UACACACCGCCCGUCACACCAUGGAAGUUGGCUGCACCAGAAGUAGGUAGUCUAACCGCAAGGGGGACGCUUACCACGGUGUGGUCAAUGACUGGGGUG